rnacentral:rRNA from 1 species
AACGAGCGCUGGCAGCAGGCCUAACACAUGCAAGUCGAACGCACCGCAAGGUGAGUGGCGCACGGGUGAGUAACACGUGGGAAUGUACCCUUUGGUUCGGAAUAACGUUUGGAAACGAACGCUAAUACCGGAUGAGCCCUGUGGGGGAAAGAUUUAUCGCCAAAGGAGCAGCCCGCGUCUGAUUAGCUAGUUGGUGGGGUAAAGGCCUACCAAGGCGACGAUCAGUAGCUGGUCUGAGAGGAUGAUCAGCCACACUGGGACUGAGACACGGCCCAGACUCCUACGGGAGGCAGCAGUGGGGAAUAUUGGACAAAUGGGCGGAAGCCUGAUCCAGCCAUGCCGCGUGAGUGAUGAAGGCC